rnacentral:rRNA from 1 species
UUAGGAAUAUUCGUCAAUGGGGGAAACCCUGAACGAGCAAUGCCGCGUGAAGGAUGACGGUCCUAUGGAUUGUAAACUUCUGUUGUUAGGGAAGAACGGCCUAUGUAGGAAAUGACAUAGGAGUGACGGUACCUUUCAAGAAAGCUCCGGCUAACUACGUGCCAGCAGCCGCGGUAAUACGUAGGGAGCAAGCGUUAUCCGGAUUUAUUGGGUGUAAAGGGUGCGUAGGCGGUUUAAUAGGUCUGUGGUCUAAGUCCGAAGCUUAACUUCGGUUCGCCAUAGAAACCGUUAAACUUGAGUAUG